rnacentral:rRNA from 1 species
GGGCCCGCACAAGCAGCGGAGCGUGUGGUUUAAUUCGAUGCAACACGAAGAACCUUACCAAGGCUUGACAUGUUGGAAGUAGCGACCAGAAAUGGUCGCCACCUGUUAAAUCAGGAGCCUUCACAGGUGCUGCAUGGCUGUCGUCAGCUCGUGCCGUGAGGUGUUGGGUUAAGUCCCCCAACGAGCGUAACCCUCGUUGCCAGUUGUUUUCUCUGGCGAGACUGCCCUGCAAAACGGGGAGGAAGGUGGGGAUGACGUCAAGUCAGCAUGGCCUUUAUGCCUUGGGCCACACACACGCUACAAUGGACGGUACAAUGGGUUGCAAUGGAGUGAUUCGGAGCUAAUCCUAAAAGCCGUUCUCAGUUCGGAUUGCAGGCUGAAACCCGCCUGCAUGAAGCCGGAGUUGCUAGUAACCGCAGGUCAGCAUACUGCGGUGAAUACGUUCUCGGGCCUU